GGGGUCGUAGCUCAACGGUUAGAGCAGGGGACUCAUAAUCCCUUGGUUAGAGGUUCGAAUCCUCUCGACCCUG
rnacentral:tRNA from 1 species